CACAAAAUCAUGAUCAUGGGAUUCUGCUACAAAUUGUAAGGAUUUGAAGAGAAAAUCACAUCAAUCAAUCUUUCCAACCCUAUCCAAUCAAGCAUCAUCCAUUCCGGUCUGAGCUCACCAGCAAUAAUUGGUAGAACGAUGCCGAUGGGAGUGUGCAUGAAGUGGAUGAGGCGUGUUUGGAUAGCGUUGGUCAGGAUUCUUCUUUCGGAUUUUCAGCCGCUGAGGUAGGGUGCACCACGCCGCGCAAGUGAGAUCUGCAGCCUCAACUCAAGUCAAAUUUAACAAGUCACACGUUUUGUCCUCAUCACGUUAUGGCUUCCUUCUUAUCUUCCUUUUCUUUUCUACUUCUCACAAAUUACUACCCAUGCCCAUCCCCAUCCCAUGCUCCUUUAUUUAUUCUUUUCUUUUUUCUAUAUAUAUAUUUUUCUUUAUAAAGGAUUCAAGUUGGUUCUCGACUUUUCUUGGGAUUUAGAUCCGUUGCCUAUAUUUCACAAAAAAAAGGUGUCAUCAUUAAGUUAUUUGUUCGUCCCUUCGUACUCUUUUAUUUAUGCCACUCUUAAUUACAUUACAUAUCUAAUAGGAAAAAUGUAUUAUGGCAAGUCAAAAAGACCAAAAUGUUCUUCAAAAAAAAAAAAAAAAAA